GACGAACGCUGGCGGCGUGCUUAACACAUGCAAGUCGAGCGGUAAGGCCCUUUCGGGGGUACGACGAGCGGCGAACGGGUGAGUAACACGUGGGUGACCUGCCUUUAGCUCUGGGAUAAGCCUGGGAAACCGGGUCUAAUACCGGAUAUGACUCCGCGGCGCAUGUUGUGGGGUGGAAAGCCUUGUGCGGCUGGAGAUGGGCCCGCGGCCUAUCAGCUUGUUGGUGGGGUGAUGGCCUACCAAGGCGACGACGGGUAGCCGGCCUGAGAGGGCGACCGGCCACACUGGACUGAGACACGGCCCAGACUCCUACGGGAGGCAGCAGGUGGGGAAUCUUGCGCAAUGGGCGAAAGCCUGACGCAGCGACGCCGCGUGAGGAUGAC
rnacentral:rRNA from 1 species